rnacentral:rRNA from 1 species
AACCCGGUGAUCUAGCCAUGGGCAGGUUGAAGGUUGGGUAACACUAACUGGAGGACCGAACCGACUAAUGUUGAAAAAUUAGCGGAUGACUUGUGGCUGGGGGUGAAAGGCCAAUCAAACCGGGAGAUAGCUGGUUCUCCCCGAAAGCUAUUUAGGUAGCGCCUCGUGAACUCAUCUUCGGGGGUAGAGCACUGUUUCGACUAGGGGGUCAUCCCGACUUACCAACUCGAUGCAAACUACGAAUACCGAAGAAUGUUAUCACGGGAGACACACGGCGGGUGCUAACGUUCGUCGUGAAGAGGGAAACAACCCAGACCGCCAGCUAAGGUCCCAAAGUCAUAGUUAAGUGGGAAACGAAGUGGGAAGGCUCAGACAGCCAGGAUGUUGGCUUAGAAGCAGCCAUCAUUUAAAGAAAGCGUAAUAGCUCACUGGUCGAGUCGGCCUGCGCGGAAGAUGUAACGGGGCU